GCCGGAGUGGGUGACAGCCCCGUAGAGGUAGGAAAGAUAAGAGACUUGAGUAGGGCGGGACACGUGAAAUCCUGUCUGAACAUGGGGGGACCAUCCUCCAAGGCUAAAUACUCCUGACUGACCGAUAGUGAACCAGUACCGUGAGGGAAAGGCGAAAAGAACCCCUGUGAGGGGAGUGAAAUAGAUCCUGAAACCGUAUGCGUACAAGCAGUCGGAGCGGACUUGUUCCGUGACGGCGUACCUUUUGUAUAAUGGGUCAUCGACUUGGUCUAUCUAGCAAGCUUAAGCCGUUAGGUGUAGGCGCAGCGAAAGCGAGUCUUAAUAGGGCGCAUGAGUUAGAUGGAUCAGACCCGAAACCGAGUGAUCUAGGCAUGGCCAGGUUGAAGGUGCGGUAACACGCACUGGAGGACCGAACCCACAUCUGUUGAAAAAGAUCGGGAUGAGCUGUGCCUAGGGGUGAAAGGCCAAUCAAACUCGGAGAUAGCUGGUUCUCUGCGAAAUCUAUUUAGGUAGAGCGUCAUCCGAAUACCCCGGGGGGUAGAGCACUGGAUGGGUAAUGGGGCCCCACAGGCUUACUGAUCCUAACCAAACUCCGAAUACCCGGGAGUACUAGAUGGCAGACACACUGCGGAUGCUAACGUCCGUAGUGGAGAGGGAAACAACCCUGACCUACGACUAAGGCCCCUAAUUCAUGGCUAAGUGGGAAAGCAGGUGGGACGACCAAAACAACCAGGAGGUUGGCUUAGAAGCAGCCAUCCUUUAAAGAUAGCGUAACAGCUCACUGGUCUAAAUAAGUUGUCCUGCGGCGAAGAUGUAACGGGGCUCAAGCCAUGAGCCGAAGUCUAGGAUGCCGUAAGGCAUGGUAGCAGAGCGUAGUGUG
rnacentral:rRNA from 1 species